rnacentral:rRNA from 1 species
UCGAAGGUAGCAUAAUCAGUAGUCUUUUAAUUGAAGGCUGGAAUGAAUGGUUGGAUGAAAUAUUAACUGUUUCAUUUAAAAUUAUAGUAGAAUUUUAUUUUUUAGUUAAAAAGCUAAAAUAUUAUUAAAAGACGAGAAGACCCUAUAAAUCUUUAUAAUUUAUUUUUAUUAAUUGUUUAGGCAUUUUUAUUUACUAAAAAUUAAAUUAUUUUAUUGGGGUGAUAUUAAAAUUUAAUAAACUUUUAAAAAUUUUUUGACAUAAAUUAGUGAAUUAUUGAUCCAUUAUUAAUGAUUAAAAAUUUAAGUUACUUUAGGGAUAACAGCGUAAUUUUUUUGGAGAGUUCAUAUCGAUAAAAAAGAUUGCGACCUCGAUGUUGGAUUAA